GCGCUCAUAGCUCAGCCGGAUAGAGCGGUGGUCUACGAAACCACAGGUCAGAGGUUCAAGUCCUCUUGAGCGCACCA
rnacentral:tRNA from 1 species